UGGCGGACGGGUGAGUAAUGUCUGGGAAACUGCCUGAUGGAGGGGGAUAACUACUGGAAACGGUAGCUAAUACCGCAUAACGUCGCAAGACCAAAGAGGGGGACCUUAGGGCCUCUUGCCAUCGGAUGUGCCCAGAUGGGAUUAGCUAGUAGGUGGGGUAAAGGCUCACCUAGGCGACGAUCCCUAGCUGGUCUGAGGGGAUGACCAGCCACACUGGAACUGAGACACGGUCCAG
rnacentral:rRNA from 1 species